GCUGUUGUAGCUCAGGGGUAGAGCAUCCGCCAGCCGGCGGAGAAGAGGUCACGAGUUCAAUUCCUGUCAACAGCU
rnacentral:tRNA from 1 species